rnacentral:rRNA from 1 species
AUUGAACGCUGGCGGCAGGCCUAACACAUGCAAGUCGAGCGGAUGAAGGGAGCUUGCUCCUGGAUUCAGCGGCGGACGGGUGAGUAAUGCCUAGGAAUCUGCCUGGUAGUGGGGGAUAACGUCCGGAAACGGGCGCUAAUACCGCAUACGUCCUGAGGGAGAAAGUGGGGGAUCUUCGGACCUCACGCUAUCAGAUGAGCCUAGGUCGGAUUAGCUAGUUGGUGGGGUAAAGGCCUACCAAGGCGACGAUCCGUAACUGGUCUGAGAGGAUGAUCAGUCACACUGGAACUGAGACACGGUCCAGACUCCUACGGGAGGCAGCAGUGGGGAAUAUUGGACAAUGGGCGAAAGCCUGAUCCAGCCAUGCCGCGUGUGUGAAGAAGGUCUUCGGAUUGUAAAGCACUUUAAGUUGGGAGGAAAGGCAGUAAGUUAAUACCUUGCUGUGUUGACGUUACCAACAGAAUAAGCACCGGCUAACUUCGUG